rnacentral:rRNA from 1 species
AGAGUUUGAUCCUGGCUCAGGAUGAACGUUAGCGGUGUGCCUAAUGCAUGCAAGUCGAACGAGAAGCUUUGGAUUCGUCUGAAGUGGACAGUGGCGGACGGGUGAGUAACACGUAGGUGACGUACCCCAGAGAGAGGGACAACCAUUGGAAACGAUGGCUAAUACCUCGGAUGUUAUACUGUUUAGAAAGGUAUGACUAAACCUCCGGUGCUCUGGGAGUGGCCUGCGGCCCAUCAGCUAGUUGGUAAGGUAAUGGCUUACCAAGGCUAAGACGGGUAGGGGGCGUGAGAGCGCGAUCCCCCACACUGGUACUGAGACACGGACCAGAUACCUGCGGGUAGCAGCAGCAAGGAAUAUUGCGCAAUGGGCGAAAGCCUGACGCAGCAACACCGCGUGGAGGAUGAAUGUCUUCGGAUUGUAAACUCCUUUUCUGGGGGAAGAGAAAGGACGGUACCCCAGGAAUAAGUCUCGGCUAACUACGUGCCAGCAGCCGCGGUAAAACGUAGGAGGCAAACGUUAUCCGGAUUUAUUGGGCGUAAAGCGCAUGCAGGCGGUUUUUCAAGUCGGACGUGAAAGCUCCUAGCUCAACUAGGAGAGGCCGUUCGAAACUGGAAGACUUGAGGAUGGUAGAGGAGAGUGGAAUUCCCGGUGUAGUGGUGAAAUGCGUAGAUAUCGGGAGGAACACCAGUGGCGAAAGCGGCUCUCUGGGCCAUUCCUGACGCUCAGAUGCGAAAGCUAGGGGAGAGAACGGGAUUAGAAACCCCGGUAUUCCUAGCCGUAAACGAUGUCAACUAGGUGUAGGAGGUCAUUUACCCCUUCUGUACUGCAGCUAACGCGUUAAGUUGACCGCCUGGGGACUACGGCCGCAAGGCUAAAACUCAAAGGAAUUGACGGGGACCCGCACAAGCAGCGGAGCGUGUGGUUUAAUUCGAGGCUACGCGAAGAACCUUACCAGGGCUUGACAUGUACGUGGUAGAGAACUGAAAAGGGAUCGACCCUUCGGGGAGCGUACAGAGGUGCUGCAUGGCUGUCGUCAGCUCGUGUCGUGAGAUGUUGGGUUAAGUCCCGUAACGAGCGCAACCCUUGUCCUUAUUUUCCAGCACGAAUGGUGGGAACUCUAAGGAGACUGCCGGUGACAAACCGGAGGAAGGUGGGGACGACGUCAAGUCAUCAUGGCCCUUACGGGGUGGGCUACACACGUGCUACAAUGGUCGGUACAGAGGGUUGCAAUGCCGCGAGGUGGAGCUAAUCUCAGAAAGCCGAUCGUAGUCCGGAUUGCAGUCUGCAACUCGACUGCAUGAAGUUGGAAUCGCUAGUAAUCGCGAAUCAGAAUGUCGCGGUGAAUACGUUCCCGGGCCUUGUACACACCGCCCGUCACACCAUGGGAGUGGGUUGCAAAAGAAGUGGGUAGUCUAACCUUCGGGAGGGCGCUCACCACUUUGUGAUUCAUGACUGGGGUGAAGUCGUAACAAAGGU